AUGAAGGUGAAUGUAGAUGCUACGGUGAGGGGAUGUCGAGGAGUCGGUUCAGUGGCAGCGAUAUGCAGGAAUAGGCAAGGACUCUAUCUAGGUGCUUCAUCCGUGGUAUUCAGAGGUAUAGUUGAUCCCACGACUCUGGAAGCUCUAGCGGUGAGGGAGGCCAUGGCAUUGGCGGAGGAUCUAAACCUACAAGCUAUUCAGGUGGCUUCAGAUUGCUCGGUGGUGAUAGAUGACAUCAAGAGGAGAAGUGGGGUUGGCUAUGGGGCUAUUGUACAUUAAAUACUAGAGUACUCUACUAGUUUUACUUUGUGUAAUUUUGUUCAUGAAUUUAGGAGUUCGAAUGUCGAAGCUCAUAAUCUAGCAAAGCAUGCACUAAAACUGGGGCUUGGUCGUCAUGUUUGGUUGGGCCACCCUGAGGAUCUUCAUUUCGUUCAUGUAAAUUAUGUGACGAAUCAAUAA
rnacentral:rRNA from 1 species